GUAACUCAAACUAGUAUGGAGUUGGAACGUUUGCCUACGUUUGCCGCUAGGGGCAAUAUAUUAAGUGUAUAACCUAUGGCUAGGGUCGCUGUCCCAAUUCCAUACAAACUUGAGUUA
rnacentral:pre_miRNA from 1 species